rnacentral:rRNA from 1 species
ACUCCUACGGGAGGCAGCAGUGGGGAAUAUUGGACAAUGGGCGAAAGCCUGAUCCAGCCAUGCCGCGUGUGUGAAGAAGGUCUUCGGAUUGUAAAGCACUUUAAGUUGGGAGGAAGGGCAGUUACCUAAUACGUAAUUGUUUUGACGUUACCGACAGAAUAAGCACCGGCUAACUCUGUGCCAGCAGCCGCGGUAAUACAGAGGGUGCAAGCGUUAAUCGGGAAUUACUGGGCGUAAAGCGCGCGUAGGUGGUUUGUUAAGUUGGAUGUGAAAUCCCCGGGGCUCAACCUGGGAACUGCAUUCAAAACUGACUGACUAGAGUAUGGUAGAGGGUGGUGGAAUUUCCUGUGUAGCGGUGAAAUGCGUAGAUAUAGGAAGGAACACCAGUGGCGAAGGCGACCACCUGGACUAAUACUGACACUGAGGUGCGAAAGCGUGGGGAGCAAACAGGAUUAGAUA